GUGCUUGUUUUGACAGAACAGACACUAAAAUUAGAAUGAUACAGAGAGAUUAACAUGGCCUCUGUGCAAUGAUGACAUGCAGAUUUGUGAAGCAUUCCGUAGUUUU